rnacentral:rRNA from 1 species
UUGCGCCUACGGGGGGCAGCAGUGAGGAAUAUUGGUCAAUGGACGGAAGUCUGAACCAGCCGUGCCGCGUGCAGGAAGACGGCUCUAUGAGUUGUAAACUGCUUUUGUACAAGGGUAAACCUGAAUACGUGUAUUCAGCUGAAAGUACUGUACGAAUAAGGAUCGGCUAACUCCGUGCCAGCAGCCGCGGUAAUACGGAGGAUGCGAGCGUUAUCCGGAUUUAUUGGGUUUAAAGGGUGCGUAGGCGGGCUGCCAAGUCAGCGGUAAAAUUGCGGGGCUCAACCCCGUCGAGCCGUUGAAACUGG